rnacentral:rRNA from 1 species
UACGAAGGGGCUAGCGUUGCUCGGAAUCACUGGGCGUAAAGCGCACGUAGGCGGAUUGUUAAGUCAGGGGUGAAAUCCUGGAGCUCAACCCCAGAACUGCCUUUGAUACUGGCGAUCUUGAGUCCGGGAGAGGUGAGUGGAACUGCGAGUGUAGAGGUGAAAUUCGUAGAUAUUCGCAAGAACACCAGUGGCGAAGGCGA